UGAACUCGAGAGGAGACAUCUCUCAGAGUUGCAAUUAGUACCUAAAGCCAUAAGCCAUCAUCAACAGUAUUUUGACUACUCAAUGGAUGAGUUCAAGCUUUCAGAAGGUUUUUCAAUCUUUACUUUCACUAAACAAUUUUAUUAUUGUUAUUAUUAUUAUUAUUAUUAAUCUAGCUAUGCCUUUUCUUUUGGUGUUUAUAUGAAAUCUUUAUUUCUAUAUCCUUCUUGUUUGAUGUUUCUUCUUUUUCUUUUCUUGACACUGCAGCACGUGCAGAACAGACGGAGCUCCCAUCUGCUGACGGUUUCAAUUAUCUGCUAGACGUGCUCAACAACGGUUCUAACAAAAACGUUAGGCGUAUAAAUACAAAAUACAAUGACCAGGAGAGCAGUCAAGGACUUAAUCUUCCAGAUAGUCCAUUCACAACUCCAAUAGGGAGCGGCAUUUCAACAGUAACAUAGAUUCAGAAACAAAGAAGAAAUAAAGGAGAUAGGGAGUAACCAAAGUUCAAGAUCAUUUCAAAGGUUGGAUACAAAACAAAG